rnacentral:rRNA from 1 species
AUUGAACGCUGGCGGCAUGCUUUACACAUGCAAGUCGAACGGUAACAGGCCGCAAGGUGCUGACGAGUGGCGCACGGGUGAGUAAUGCAUCGGAACGUGCCCAGUCGUGGGGGAUAACUACUCGAAAGAGUAGCUAAUACCGCAUACGAUCUAUGGAUGAAAGCGGGGGACCGUAAGGCCUCGCGCGAUUGGAGCGGCCGAUGUCAGAUUAGGUAGUUGGUGGGGUAAAGGCUCACCAAGCCAACGAUCUGUAGCUGGUCUGAGAGGAGGACCAGCCACAGGGGGGGUGAGCACCGGCCCGGCGCCUGAGGGAGGGCAGAGUGGGGGAAUUUUGGCAAAGGGGGGGAAGCCUGAACAAGCAAGGCCGGGGGGAGGAAGAAGGCCUGCGGGUGGUAAACUGUUUUUGUAGGGAACAAAAGGGUUCUGGUUAAACCCCGGGGGUAAUGCGGGAACGGAAAAAAAAACCCCGGGCAACCACGGG